GUUGACAUCCAGAGAACUUAGCAGAGAUGCUUUGGUGCCUUCGGGAACUCUGAGACAGGUGCUGCAUGGCUGUCGUCAGCUCGUGUUGUGAAAUGUUGGGUUAAGUCCGCAACGAGCGCAACCCUUAUCCUUUGUUGCCAGCGGUUCGGCCGGGAACUCAAAGGAGACUGCCGGUGAUAAACCGGAGGAAGGUGGGGAUGACGUCAAGUCGUCAUGGCCCUUACGGCCAGGGCUACACACGUGCUACAAUGGCGCAUACAAAGAGAAGCGACCUCGCGAGAGCAAGCGGGACCUCAUAAAGUGCGUCGUAGUCCGGAUUGGAGUCUGCAACUCGACUCCAUGAAGUCGGAAUCGCUAGUAAUCGUAGAUCAGAAUGCUACGGUGAAUACGUUCCCGGGCCUUGUACACACCGCCCGUCACACCAUGGGAGUGGGUUGCAAAAGAAGUAGGUAGCUUAACCUUCGGGAGGGCGCUUACCACUUUGUGAUUCAUGACUGGGGUGAAGUCGUAACAAGGUAGGCGUAGCGAG
rnacentral:rRNA from 1 species